UUAAUGGUUUCACUUGAUGGUUAAAUUCAGUGAAAAGGACCAAAUCAUUUACUAAAGAAGAAAUCGAAGCUUUUUGGAGGUUAAAGAAGAAGACUGAAGAAGAACAUCUCCAAGCAAUCUCCAAGUUACUUGAUAAUGAAGAUGUCGAGAGGAAAGAGGCGCAAGAUAACACGGCCGAAGGAGCAUCUGAGAAACAGAACAAUACAAAAGGAUGGUGGAGACGAAGCGCCGCG